GACGAACGCUGGCGGCGUGCUUAACACAUGCCAGUCGAACGGAAAGGCCCUGCUUUUGUGGGGUGCUCGAGUGGCGAACGGGUGAGUAACACGUGAGUAACCUGCCCUUGACUUUGGGAUAACUUCAGGAAACUGGGGCUAAUACCGGAUAGGAGCUCCUGCUGCAUGGUGGGGGUUGGAAAGUUUCGGCGGUUGGGGAUGGACUCGCGGCUUAUCAGCUUGUUUGUGGGGUAGUGGCUUACCAAGGCUUUGACGGGUAGCCGGCCUGAGAGGGUGACCGGCCAGAUUGGGACUGAGAUACGGCCGAGACUCAUACGGGAGGCAGCAGUGGGGAAUAUUGCACAAUGGGCGGAAGCCUGAUGCAGCAACGCCGCGUGAGGGAUGACGGACUUCGGGUUGUAAACAGAUUGCGACUGUGACGAAGCGUGAGUGAAGGUAAUGGGUAAAGAAGCACCGGCUAACUACGUG
rnacentral:rRNA from 1 species